AUGAGAAAGAUCGCAUCGGCCCUCAAAAAGGCAGAGGAUCUUCUGGUGACUGAGCAACUCCACUGGCAGCAGGAGAAAUCCUCCCUAAUAGAGGAGAUGGAGAAAUCUAGGGCUUUCUAUGCAGCUCAGCUUGAUGAGCAGAAACACAAGAACAACACCCUUGUGGCUUCUCUGAGGAAAGUUGAGCAGAAGCUGGAGAGUCAUCAGGUGAAGUGGCAGGAGGAACGGACAUCCCUCAUUCAGGCCACAGAAGGCUUCAAGGAGACUGUGCAGGAACUGGCCAAGAGUGAGGAAGAGGCUAGGAAGACUUUAGAAAGAUCCAAGGCUUCCCAUCAACUUCAGAUUAAGGAACACAAAGCAGAGACGAGAAAGAUCGCAUCUGCCCUUAAAGAGGCACAGGAUCUGCUGGUGACUGAGCAACUCCAAUGGCAGCAGGAGAAAUCCUCCCUGCUGGAGGAGAUGGAGAAAUCCGGGGCUCUUUAUGUGGCUCAGUUCGACGAGCAGAAACACAAGAACAACACCCUUGUGGCUUCUCUGAGGAAAGUUGAGCAGAAGCUGGAGAGCCAGAAGGUGAAGUGGCAGGAGGAAAGGACAUCCCUCAUUCAGGCCACAGAAGGCUUCAAGGAGACUGUGCAGGAACUGGCCAAGAGUGAGGAAGAGGCUAGGAAGACUUUAGAAAGAUCCAAGGCUUCCCAUCAACUUCAGACUAAGGAACACAAAGCAGAGACCAGAAAGAUCGCUUCUGCCUUUAAAAAGUUAAAGUAUCUGCUGGAGACUGAGCAACUCCACUGGCAGCAGGAGAAAUCCUCCCUUCUGGAGGCGAUGGAGGAAUCCAGGGCUCUCUAUGCAGCUCAGCUGGACGAGCAGAAACACAAGAACAACACCCUUGUGGCUGCUCUGAGGAAAGUUGAGCAGAAGCUAGAGAGUCAUCAGGUGGAGUGGCAGGAGGAAAGGACAUUCCUCAUUCAGGCUGCAGAAGACUUCAAGAAGACUGUGGAAAGAUCCCACACUUCCAAUCAAUUUCAGAUCAAGGAACACAACGCACAGAACAGGAAGAUCACACCUGCCCAGGAGAAAUCCUCCCGGAUGGAGGAGAUGGAAAAAUCCAGAUCUCACCAUGAGGUCAAGCUGGAUGAGCAGAAACACAACAGCAAAACUGUUAUAUAUGCUCUGAAUACAGUUAAGCAACAGCUUGGCAACCAUCUCUUAGAGUGGCAGGACUUCAAGACCAAGGUGGAUGAGCAGAAACAAGAGAACAGCACCCUCAGGGCUCUUCUGAAGAUGGUUGACAAGACAGAAGCAAAAGACGUCCAUCAGUCAGGACACAAGGUUUCUCAAGAGGAUGCUGCAGGAAAAGGAGCUGGAGUGGGAGGGAAAAGAAAUCUCCACGAUGUUUGAGCUGGAAGAUCUCAUGAGUAUGAAAAAGAAAAAGAUGCAAUGGUAUAGAAAGCUCUCCCAGUGGCCUGAUCCACGUCGACAAAUUGACAGGAGACUCUAACCCAUGCAUUUGUUUACCCUGUCCAACCAGUGGUUUCCUCCGGGUUGAUCCGGUUAACCCAUUUUAAUUGAAGAAAAAAUUCUUCAAUUAAAAGAAAAAAAAAUAUGAGAUCAGAUGAUACACUCUUAACCCCCCAAAACUGCCUUUUGAGGGACAUGACUCAACUUUUCCCUGUCCAAGCAGUGGCUUUUCCGGGGUGAUCCAGUUAACCCAUUUUAAUUGAAGAAGAAUUUCUUCGAUUAAAAGAAAAAAACACAUGAGAUCAGAUGAUACAAUCAUAACCUCCAAAACAGCCUUUUGAGUGUCCGGACUCAACAACAAAUGAAAAAAUAACGGCACAGUUCAAUAACAUAUUCAAUAAAGUUAGGUGUUUGUUCCAAAACCAGCCUGUGUGUGUCUUUUGUUUGGGUCCCUUUUCGUGUAAUCCUACACUAAUGUUAAUUGAUGCUGUUUACAAAAUGUAUUACCAAAAUGAAGGUCAGCUCAAUAAAUGUAUUAUUAACCAUAAGGGUAUCAACCACCAAAAUGUCCAGUUUUUUAAGAACAUGAUGGCUUGUAUUUUUUGUUUUUCAUACUUAAAUACUCAGCUUUUUCUAAAAAAAAAUUCCCAUUCAUCCUUAUGGCGAAUUUUUCAAAUUUCAUUCUGCUAUUAUUUCAGCAUACAUUCAGCUAUAGAAACCGUGUUCUUGUAUCAGUCUGUACUUUUCAGCUUUUUCAAAUAUUCCUCUUCAAAACCACCUGACUUUCAACCUAUCCUUGUCCCUCAUACGUUGAGCUAGAGACACAAAUUCAAAGUUUUAAACAGAAGACCUUGAACUAUUGGGCAUGUAAUUAGCUUUUUAAAAUCUUUUAGGGUUUUGAAAUCAUCACAAUUUUAGUUUUAAGGAUUUUUAGCUCGUCUUCUGACUUUAUAAUUGCGUGAGCUAGAAUAUGAGACAUCAUCGCUAGAGAGCAGCUGGAAAAAUUGGAGAAGCUUCGUCUCAGCUUGAUUUGGAUUCCACAUCUUUUCCUUCACAUAGACAAUAUAUAUAUAGAAAUGUAAGAAGUCUUGUUGGCUUUCAGCUGAUGUUCUUAUUUCAGAUGUAGGACUUACAGUUUUGGCUGUAGGAGCCCCAGAGCGACAAGCAACUCCCCCAUAAGCUGCAAUGUUAAUUUUGAGCCUAAAUUUUGGAGGAGAGCAGACGGUACCUGUUUUGUCUCUCAGAGUUCAUCCACGUCUCCUCUCACUCAUUGCAAUAUGUUGGCCAUAACUGUUACACCUUUUUCAAAACUCGCAGGAGUUUGGGAGGCGUUUUCCCAUUCAUUCUUAUAGAGACACUUUCAGCUUUGGUUCUGCUACUUCUCCAGCAUAUAUGCGGCUAAAGAAACUGUUCAUGAACAUGGUUGAUCGCGGUAACGAUGACCUAAAAAUACCCAGUCUGAUGUCUGUCGAGUGUAGAGGCUGUUAAACCAAACUCC
ensembl:lncRNA